rnacentral:misc_RNA from 1 species
GUUGUGGAGUCCAGCAUAGCAUACUCUGGCGUAACGCGCCGAAAGACGUCCCCAGCCUCGGCCUCUAUGGCUUCAACUAACCAACUCUCGAUAUGCAAAUACACCACCCAGUCCCCAUUUCCUCCCGUGCUCGGCAUGGGCAUUACAUACCCAGCUCCACCGCCCCACGGGAAGUGGUACGACCAGAAAACCACCUUUCCCCAACCAAACUCUACUUCUCCGACCGGGAACUGCCGC